rnacentral:rRNA from 1 species
AUUGAACGCUGGCGGCAUGCUUUACACAUGCAAGUCGAACGGUAACAGGUCUUCGGAUGCUGACGAGUGGCGAACGGGUGAGUAAUACAUCGGAACGUGCCUAGUAGUGGGGGAUAACUACUCGAAAGAGUAGCUAAUACCGCAUGAGAUCUACGGAUGAAAGCAGGGGACCUUCGGGCCUUGUGCUACUAGAGCGGCUGAUGGCAGAUUAGGUAGUUGGUGGGGUAAAGGCUUACCAAGCCUGCGAUCUGUAGCUGGUCUGAGAGGACGACCAGCCACACUGGGACUGCGACACGGCCCAGACUCCUACGGGAGGCAGCAGUGGGGAAUUUUGGACAAUGGGCGAAAGCCUGAUCCAGCAAUGCCGCGUGCAGGAUGAAGGCCCUCGGGUUGUAAACUGCUUUUGUCCGGAACGAAAAGCCUGGGGCUAAUAUCCCCGGGUCAUGACGGUACCGUAAGAAUAAGCACCGGCUAACUACGUG